CAGUAGCCGCGGGAAUACGAAGGGGGCUAGCGUUGUUCGGAUUUACUGGGCGUAAAGCGCACGUAGGCGGAUCGAUCAGUCAGGGGUGAAAUCCCAGAGCUCAACUCUGGAACUGCCUUUGAUACUGUCGAUCUGGAGUAUGGAAGAGGUGAGUGGAAUUCCGAGUGUAGAGGUGAAAUUCGUAGAUAUUCGGAGGAACACCAGUGGCGAAGGCGGCUCACUGGUCCAUUACUGACGCUGAGGUGCGAAAGCGUGGGGAGCAAACAGGAUUAGAUACCCCCGUAGUCCCUGUAUCUUAUAC
rnacentral:rRNA from 1 species